AACGAACGCUGGCGGCAGGCCUAACACAUGCAAGUCGAACGCCCCGCCAGGGGAGUGGCAGACGGGUGAGUAACGCGUGGGAACGUGCCCUUCGGUUCGGAAUAACUCAGGGAAACUUGAGCUAAUACCGGAUACGUCCGUAAGGAGAAAGAUUUAUCGCCGAAGGAUCGGCCCGCGUCGGAUUAGCUAGUUGGUGAGGUAACGGCCCACCAAGGCGACGAUCCGUAGCUGGUCUGAGAGGAUGANCAGCCACACUGGGACUGAGACACGGCCCAGACUCCUACGGGAGGCAGCAGUGGGGAAUCUUGCGCAAUGGGCGAAAGCCUGACGCGGCGACGCCGCGUGAGGGAUGACGGCCUCGG
rnacentral:rRNA from 1 species